UCAAAAGGUGUUAAUGUGACCCUCUUGUUGUCUAACAUUAAACAGGGUUAAACAAGGUUUGGUAUACAGAGACACCAUUAAAAAUCUUUUUAAUCUUUUCUUAAAGAGACAGAGGAAAAAAAGGAAAAACAGCUCCUGCUUUUAGCUGUGGACUUCCCCAGUUUAAUCCCCAGUGUGUCAGCCAAGAUGGCAGCUGUUACACUGUCAUUCACAAGCGGGUGCUGAGCUCUUGGGGGAUGAAGGAUGUGCUGCUAGCCAACACAGAGAUCAACCUGUAUGCCACCAACAUCCCAACCGCCUGGAACUAACGUCAGUCAAGGAAAGCAAACUGUAUUCUGUUUGGCCUCAUACAUCAACAGAACUGUUGAAUGCAUUGCUGGUGAAGAUGAAAGAAGCAGAAAGAACCCAAUUUGAAUCUCAGAGUUAAGCAAGGAUGACCAGAACUCCAUGAUGCUGAGAGAUCAGUCCUGUCCUUUCCUUGGUGCAAUUACAUGACCACUUUAGGCUCUCAGGCGUGUGAGGAGGGAGAAGAAAAACAAGAUGUGCAAGGAUGUAAGUCAGGCUAUAACCAUGAACACCUAGUCAAUGCCAUCAAACAGCUGUCAAAGGAGAUGCUACCAUCUUCCUUGCUGUUGAAAGGCAACCCAAGAGCCCCUGAAGACACAGUGUCUGGGACAUGUAGGUGAGAAUUCUUCAAUCUGUUCUUCAAAUCUCAAUCAUCUAGAUGUUUGCCUACAGAAAGGGCAACAGCAAUUCAUUGUAUUAAAUAUAAAUGAAUACAGUAGAAAUUCUUCCCUGGAUAUUCUAGAUACAUCACUGUUAUUGCCCAUCUCAGAAGGCUCAUUGGGUGAUGACUUGCCAUCUUCUCUUUUAUUGUCCAGUUCAUGAGUUAAUCCUUCUGGCUGCUGUAUGAAGCUGUAGGCAAUUAAUAAUAAUUCAUCACUGUUUGCUGAAAGCAUAUUGUGUUGUGUGAAAGAGAUGUAAUCUCAAAAUAUAUGAGGUGAAGCAAGGAGUGGAAUUUGAGUGUUAUUGCACUGGGGUUUUAUUAAUAGGUUAGUGACUGUAGAAAUAACAACAACAAAAUCUAUGUGUAUAAUUUGAAGGCAAACUCUCCCCUCUACUAAUCCAGCCUUUCAGACCUGCCGUAAACAAUUGCAUUUCAAGGGAAAGUUGCUGAGAAAAACAAAGUCCAUUUUUAAAAAAUAAACAUGAUAGAAAUGUCUGUCUAAAACCUCUAAGCCCUGAGUUGUUAGGGGAAGAUAACAAUUUUAUUAAUUAGAUGAUCAAUUAUUACAAUAUUAGGAUACACUUCUUGGGCUGGUCCACUGCAGCUUGUGUUUGUUUGGGAUACUUUUAUUAUCCAAUUUGACCAUCAAUAAUGAAAUUGUUCCAGUGAGUUAUUUAAUGUAAUUGCUAUAAUUCUCUAAUCUGAAUAUUUACAUCAUCGUUGUGGGCUGAUUACAAAUACAUUCACCGUAUUUUAUCUAUGUUGAUUUUCAACAUCUAUACCGAUUGUGUUCAGAAAUAAACUGCCGCGCGUGAGCAGUGAGAGUUUGCUCGUAUUUCAAACUUUGUUUCCAAUGGUUCCCUUAAAGAGACUAAACUGAGUAAAAUAGAUUGGCAUACCUGAGCUAGUUCUCAGUGAACGCAAUGCCCAGCACAGAGCAGAAUGGAAAGGGGAAGCAAUGAAUAAAGCAAUUAUAGGAGCUGAUAGGGAGAUCCUGGGCCUGAUCCAGCUCCCACUAACACUGAGGCCCAGAUUGGUAGGUACCUAAUGAUCUUGGAGCAUCUA